CCAGACUCCUACGGGAGGCAGCAGUGAGGAAUAUUGGUCAAUGGACGAAAGUCUGAACUAGCCAUGCCGCGUGCAGGAAGACGGCUCUAUGAGUUGUAAACUGCUUUUGUACAAGGGUAAACCUGAAUACGUGUAUUCAGCUGAAAGUACUGUACGAAUAAGGAUCGGCUAACUCCGUGCCAGCAGCCGCGGUAAUACGGAGGAUGCGAGCGUUAUCCGGAUUUAUUGGGUUUAAAGGUUGCGUAGGCGGUCCUUUAAGUCAGCGGUAAAUUUGCGGGGCUCAACCCCGUCGAGCCGUUGAAACUGGCAUACUUGAGUUGGCGAGAAGUACGCGGAAUGCGCGGUGUAGCGGUGAAAUGCAUAGAUAUCGCGCAGAACUCCGAUUGCGAAGGCAGCGUACCGGCGCCAGACUGACGCUGAGGCACGAAAGCGUGGGGAUCGAACAGGAUUAGAUACCCUCGUAU
rnacentral:rRNA from 1 species